UACAGAGGUCUCAAGCGUUGUUCGGAAUCACUGGGCGUAAAGGGCGCGUAGGCGGGAUGGCAAGUCGGUCGUGAAAUCCUUCGGCCCAACCGAAGAACGUCGGCCGAUACUGCCAUUCUUGAGGGAUGCAGAGGAGACUGGAAUUCCCGGUGUAGCGGUGAAAUGUGUAGAGAUCGGGAGGAACACCGGUGGCGAAGGCGGGUCUCUGGGCAUUUCCUGACGCUGAGGCGCGAAAGCGUGGGGAGCAAACGGG
rnacentral:rRNA from 1 species